rnacentral:rRNA from 1 species
UACGUAGGGGGCUAGCGUUGCUCGGAAUCACUGGGCGUAAAGCGCACGUAGGCGGACUCUUAAGUCGGUGGUGAAAUCCUGGAGCUCAACUCCAGAACUGCCUUCGAUACUGGGACGAUCUCGAGUCCGGGAGAGGUGAGUGGAACUGCGAGUGUAGAGGUGAAAUGCGCAGAUAUCAGGAGGAACACCGGUGGCGAAGGCGGGAUUCUGGGCCAGUACUGACGCUGAGGAGCGAAAAGCGUGGGGAGCAAACAGG